UCGCAGAGAGAGAGAGAGAGAGAGAUCGGUCUUCCUUCUGCUGGUUUACUUCCUGAAUGCCCUGAACAGUGUCCUAGCCUGGACUGAAGCUGGAAGAACAAUCCUGGAGGCCAUCACUGCUGCCUCUGGGGAUCUGCUGGAUUCAGGAGCUGGAGCCAGGAAUCAAACCCAGUCACUCCAGUGUGGGAGGCCAGGAAGCCACCUGCACAAGGAACAGAAGGCUUUCCAGAGCUGUCUGCUGAUUGAUGGCUACAUUGAGAACCUGAACCAGCUUCACAAUAACCCCUGUUUCUGUACUUCAAAUCAAUUCACAAGCCCAGGGAGACCCAUCAAGAGAGCAAGGAGGAAAUCGGAGAGAGUGUCAUCUAUUUAUCCAAGAACCUACUCCUGUGGUUAAGUAAACUUCUCAGUCUCCUGCUUCUAUGAAGCCUGAACAUGUGUCUGGAAAAAAAGCAACUGAGACCUUGCUUUCCCCAAGCAGUAGAAUCAGCCAAUCUCAGCAAAGCUCCAAGUUUGUCUUAAGAAUCUGGAAGGCUAAGAACCACUGCAACAACCCACAUGUUAGCGGGUUAAAGCCCUGGCCUGAAGUGCCAGCAUUCCAUAUGGGCGCUGGUUCUAGUCCUGGCUGCUCCACUUCUGAUCCAGCUCCCUGCUAUGGCCUGGGAAAGCAGUGGAGAAUGGCCCAAGUCCUUGGGCCCCUGCACCCACGUGGGAGACCUGGAAGAAGCUCCUGGCUCCUGGCUUUGGAUUGGCACAGCUCUGGCCACUGCAGCCAUCCAGGGAGUGAACCAUCGGAUGGAAGACCUCUCUCUCUGUCUCCUCUCUCUGGAACU